AUCCCCUCAGGAUCAUACCUGGAGAGUUUCCAGUACUCUACCAGACUCGACUAUGGGAGGGAGAGUCAAGCAGAGUCAAACGCAUUCCAUUCCUAGCUUGGUCAGUGGCUAAUGAGUGGAAGACAGUCUGUUACAAGU